rnacentral:rRNA from 1 species
CGCGUAGGUGGUAGUGUAAGUCUGGGGUGGAAUGCCGGGGCUUAACCCUGGAAUUGCCUUGGAAACUGCAUUACUUGAGUCAGUGAGGGGAGGGUAGAAUUCCUGGUGUAGCGGUGAAAUGCGUAGAUAUCAGGAGGAAGGCCUGUGGCGAAGGCGGCCCUCUGGUGCUGGACUGACACUGAGGCGCGAAAGCGUGGGGAGCAAACAGGAUUAGAUACCCUGGUAGUCCACGCCCUAAACGGUGGGCACUAGGUGUAGGGCUCGUAAGGGUUCUGUGCCGAAGGGAAACCAUUAAGUGCCCCGCCUGGGGAGUACGGCCGCAAGAUUGAA